rnacentral:rRNA from 1 species
AGUGGACGCUGGCGGUAGGCCUAACACAUGCAAGUCGAACGGCAGCACAGGAGAGCUUGCUCUCUGGGUGGCGAGUGGCGGACGGGUGAGGAAUACAUCGGAAUCUGCCCAGUCGUGGGGGAUAACGUAGGGAAACUUACGCUAAUACCGCAUACGACCUUCGGGUGAAAGAGGGGGAUCGCAAGACCUCUCGCGAUUGGAUGAGCCGAUGUCGGAUUAGCUAGUUGGCGGGGUAAUGGCCCACCAAGGCGACGAUCCGUAGCUGGUCUGAGAGGAUGAUCAGCCACACUGGAACUGAGACACGGUCCAGACUCCUACGGGAGGCAGCAGUGGGGAAUAUUGGACAAAGGGCGCAAGCCUGAUCCAGCCAUACCGCGUGGGUGAAGAAGGCCUUCGGGUUGUAAAGCCCUUUUGUUGGGAAAGAAAUCUUUCAGGCUAAUACCCUGGGAGGAUGACGGUACCCAAAGAAUAAGCACCGGCUAACUUCGUG